GCCUGUUCACCCCGCUAUCAUCCAGAAGGCGAGUCACACUUCCCAAUGGUCCAACGCAGGAAGAGGAGUAAGAAUGGGGAAAAAGGACAAGCAAGAGGAAACGGAGGGGAAGCACAAGGCGAAUCACUCCAGUUCUUAAUACCCUUGUAAACCUCUGCAGGAGCCGAAGAUCACAAGUUCGGGGAAUUUAAAAGCUGCCUUGGGGAGCGGCCAUGUAGAUGUGGAGACCAACAGUGAUGCAUCACCACCUUCUGGAAAGAAGUAUGUUUUUCUUCUAAUGCUGAAAUUAUUCACACCAAAAGUAAAGUUUAACUUCAAUGUAAACAGAGAGUAAGAUACAGUAUGUUGGUGAUGAUGAGGUUUUCUUUAUUGGCAGUGACAUUGACUUAAACAACAAUAUCUCUGCCAAGGACAAGGAAUCAGAUGGGAGAAAAGGGAUACAGGAAAUGUUUUAGCUUGAAUAUUUUGUGAUUGUUGAUGUUUUGCUUGCCUUGUGUCAUUUCUCACCCAUUGUUAUGUCAAUGUAGCGCAAAUCUAGAAGUAGCAAAAAGAGACACCACGGGACGGACGAGGAGAAGUUGAGCAAAAAUAAGUUUGUAAACUAACAGGUGAACAGCAUUAAUUGUCAAGUUCCACAUUAAAAAGUAUUCAUACUCGGUGUAUGGGUGUUGCUAUACUCUAGUGCAGUGGUUCCCAAUUAUUUUUUAUUUUUUGAAGGAACUCAGUCCGGCUUUCAACUUACUCUUGAAAGUUGUAAUAGUAGAAU